GAUAAACGCUGGCGGCAUGCCUAAUACAUGCAAGUCGAACGAUCUCGACCUUCGGGUCAAUGAGAUAGUGGCGAACGGGUGAGUAACACGUAAGAAAUCUGCCCUUAAGACGAGGAUAACUAUUGGAAACGAUAGCUAAUACUGGAUAGGACAUAAAACCGCAUGGUUUAAUGUUUAAAGGCGCGUAUGCGCUGCUUUAGGAUGAUCUUGCGCUGUAUUAGUUAGUUGGUGAGGUAAUGGCUCACCAAGACGAUGAUACAUAGCUGGUCUGAGAGGAUGAACAGCCACACUGGGACUGAGACACGGCCCAGACUCCUACGGGAGGCAGCAGUAGGGAAUUUUCGGCAAUGGGCGAAAGCCUGACCGAGCAAUGCCGCGUGAACGAUGAAGGUCUUCGGAUCGUAAAGUUCUGUUGUUAAGGAAGAACAGGUAGAAUAGGAAAUGAUUUUGCCCUGACGGUACUUAACCAGAAAGCUCCAGCUAACUACGUG
rnacentral:rRNA from 1 species